UAAUACCCAAUCCUGACACAGGGAGGUAGUGACAAGAAAUAACAAUACAGGGCUAAUGUCUUGUAAUUGGAAUGAUGGUGACCCAAACCCUCACCAGAGUAGCAAUUGGAGGGCAAGUCUGGUGCCAGCAGCCGCGGUAAUUCCAGCUCCAAUAGCGUAUAUUAAACUUGUUGCAGUUAAAAAGCUCGUAGUUGAAUUUUAGCGUGUUCGAGUUUGCCAUUCGUUUGGCUUUUUCGAGUUCGCUUUUGGGUUUUCCCUUUUUACUUUGAGAAAAUUAGAGUGUUUCAAGCAGACUUUUGUCUUGAAUACUUCAGCAUGGAAUAAUAGAGUAGGACUUUGGUUCUAUUUUGUUGGUUAUUGAACCUUAGUAAUGGUUAAUAGGAACGGUUGGGGGCAUUCGUAUUUAAA
rnacentral:rRNA from 1 species